AUCUCACUGACGAGUGCCAAAUAGCACGAAACCCGGGUUCAGAU
rnacentral:hammerhead_ribozyme from 1 species